GACAUGACAUUUCAUUUAUAAAUAUGCAGACGACAUGACAUCUUAAUGUUUCAUAUUCCUCCUCCUUACAUCUGUGAUUUUCAGUGAUAGAUUCUGAAAGUGCUUUUAUAAAUUAACAGUUUACUUCUUGGUCAACUUAUAUGUUAAACAGCUUGUAGGCUUUUGUAGCCGUGUUUGGUUUUGUCAAAUCUAAUUGAAAAACUUCCUAAUAUUUGGAUUUCCAGAUCCAGUUUUGCCUCUAGGUGCAACUGUAGCACGGUGCCACUGUUGCACCUAAGGGGAAUCCUCUAUCUUGUUGUUCAACUCUUCAACAAUCGGACUUAUUCUACUUUUCUUCCCAAAAUUUUCUGGGAUUCUAUCUUGGGAUCAGGCUACGGUGCAACAGUGGCACCGUGCUACAGUUGCACCUAGCCGUUGGAUGCAGUUGGAUUGGUAAGAUCUACUGACAUCCAACGACUAGGUGCAACUGUAGCACGGUGCCACUGUUGCACCUAAGGGGAAUCCUCUAUCUUGUUGUUCAACUCUUCAACAAUCGGACUUAUUCUACUUUUCUUCCCAAAAUUUCAAGCUGAGCGCAUUAGAUUAGACCGAAGCCCUCUCUUUCCCUUUCAGACCGUCCACGUAGUUGCGACCACAAGAUAGAUUCGUGUGCAGGCAACCAACCCAACCCUCGACAUAAAUCUACGUGUUCACACUUCACACAACGAAAAGGUCAUUGAUGCUGAUGAGGACGCACGGGCAAAUCUCCUGCUUCGGAUUCUUUUCUUCGUUCAAAUUUUUUAUUCUUUGUCGUAUUUUAAAAGGCGGACACAAGCAUGUGACAGCACAGACCCCGCACUGGCCGCAUCAGACUCUAAUGACUACCGUCCAAACGGGUGUUCAUUCCAAUAAAUGAUUCCUUGCAUUUCCAAUAAAGUUAACACUUUCAAAACGGCAGGCUUUUUUUUUUUUUUUUUAAUUAUUAAUCACUUGCUUUUGCAAGCUGCAGCUUUGCUUACUUUUACCGGAGGGCAUUUACAACACUUUUACUUGCAUAGUUGUGUUGUGAAUCUAGAAACAGAGGAGGAGGAGAGGAAGAUUGAAGCGAGGAAGUUUUGGGAGUGGGAGCGUGGGGUAAGAAGUGAAGAAAACGUAUAAUUUUUCUUUUCUUUUUCAAUUGAGAAAGAAAAUUACAAAUUCAAUUUCUUCCCUAUGCCUCCCAUUCCUAUGAUUUCCUGCAGUUCCUUCCUCUCUUUAUCAUCUCUUCGUCGACUUUAGGAACCGUGCUUGAUUUCUUCAGUUCAAUUUCUGGUAAGGUAUCUCUUCUUUCUAUUUAUUUUGUGGGGGAUGACGUCAUCAUUUUUCCUUCUAUCGUUUUCAUAUCAAGCUUCUUCUUCUUUUUUUAUUAAUUAAUCAAUCUUGUUUGUUACAAUUUGGCUAUGGAUCCCCUUCGUGGCUGGGUUUUAACAUCAGUCAUGGCGGGGAGAUGUAAAAGACAGGGUUCGAUGAGAUAUCCUUGAUGGCGCGUCGUUUAUAAUGUUUUAUGCUAACGACAUGACAUUUCAUUUAUAAAUAUGCAGACGACAUGACAUCUUAAUGUUUCAUAUUCCUCCUCCUUACAUCUGUGAUUUUCAGUGAUAGAUUCUGAAAGUGCUUUUAUAAAUUAACAGUUUACUUCUUGGUCAACUUAUAUGUUAAACAGCUUGUAGGCUUUUGUAGCCGUGUUUGGUUUUGUCAAAUCUAAUUGAAAAACUUCCUAAUAUUUGGAUUUCCAGAUCCAGUUUUGCCUUUUAAGUCCUAACCAUUUGCUUUGCUUUUGCUUCACUCACGAUGAAUUUUAUAACCAGUUAAAUUACUAUUAUAUUAUCUAACAAUAAAUAACCAACUCAUUGAUUAACAUACCAGCUGAGAUUCUAAAAUUUUUUAACCAGAUUCUCUUCUGAUCUGAGAUUAAAUUUU
rnacentral:lncRNA from 1 species